AAUGAACGCUGGCGGCGCGCCUAAUACAUGCAAGUCGAGCGAGAAGACGUAGCAAUACGUUUGUAAAGCGGCGAACGGGUGAGGAAUACAUGGGUAACCUACCCUCGAGUAGGGGAAUAACUAGCCGAACGGUUAGCUAAUACCGCGUACGCUUCUUGGACUUCGGUUCAGGGAGGAAAGCGAUGCCGAGGGUAUCGCGCUCUUGGAUGGGCUCAUGUCCUAUCAGCUUGUUGGNGAGGUAACGGCUCACCAAGGCUUCGACGGGUAGCUGGUCUGAGAGGACGAUCAGCCACACUGGGCACUGCGACACGGGCCAGACUCC
rnacentral:rRNA from 1 species